rnacentral:rRNA from 1 species
CGGGAAGCCAGGCGGCGACGCCGAGCGGAACCCGAAAACCUGUCUCAGUUCGGAUCGGAGUCUGCAACCCGACUCCGUGAAGCUGGAUUCGCUAGUAAUCGCGCAUCAGCCAUGGCGCGGUGAAUACGUUCCCGGGCCUUGUACACACCGCCCGUCAAGCCAUGGAAGCCGGGGGUGCCUGAAGUGUGCAGCCGCAAGGAGCGCCCUAAGGUAAAACCGGUGACUGGGGCUAAGUCGUAACAAGGUAUC